UACGUAGGGUGCGAGCGUUAAUCGGAAUUACUGGGCGUAAAGCGUGCGCAGGCGGUUUUGUAAGCCGGAUGUGAAAUCCCCGGGCUUAACCUGGGAAUGGCAUUCGGGACUGCAAGGCUGGAGUGCGGCAGAGGAGACUGGAAUUCCUGGUGUAGCAGUGAAAUGCGUAGAUAUCAGGAGGAACACCGGUGGCGAAGGCGGGUCUCUGGGCAACAACUGACGCUGAGGAGCGAAAGCGUGGGGAGCGAACAGG
rnacentral:rRNA from 1 species